rnacentral:rRNA from 1 species
ACUCCUACGGGAGGCAGCAGUGGGAAUGAUUGCACAAUGGGCGCAAGCCUGAUGCAGCCAUGCCGCGUGUGUGAAGAAGGCCUUCGGGUUGUAAAGCACUUUCAGUCGAUGAGGAAGGUAGUGUAGGUUAAUNCUGCAUUAUUUGACGUUAGCGACUAGAAGAAGCACCGGCUAACUCCGUGCCAGCAGCCGCGGUAAUACGGAGGGUGCGAGCG